AUACCCGUUGUGGGGAAUUCAGUGAUCCUAUGCUGCCGAGAAAAGCCUCUAGUGAGUUCAUACACGGCCCGUACCCCAAACCGACACAGGUGAUCAGGUAGAGAAUACCAAGGCGAUCGAGAGAACUGUGGUUAAGGAACUCGGCAAAAUGCCCCCGUAACUUCGGGAGAAGGGGGACCAUGCCCGGUGAACAUCUUCACGGUGGGAGCUGGGUGUGGUCGCAGAGACCAGAGAGAAGCGACUGUUUACUAAAAACACAGGUCCGUGCGAAGACGUAAGUCGAUGUAUACGGACUGACGCCUGCCCGGUGCUGGAAGGUUAAGAGGACCGGUUAGCCGUAAGGCGAAGCUGAGAAUUUAAGCCCCAGUAAACGGCGGUGGUAACUAUAACCAUCCUAAGGUAGCGAAAUUCCUUGUCGGGUAAGUUCCGACCUGCACGAAUGGCGUAACGACUUCUCUGCUGUCUCGACCACAGACUCGGCGAAAUUGCACUACGAGUAAAGAUGCUCGUUACGCGCGGCAGGACGAAAAGACCCCGGGACCUUUGCUAUAGCUUGGUAUUGGCGUUCGAUUCGGUUUGUGUAGGAUAGGUGGGAGACUGUGAAGCAUGCACGCCAGUGUGUGUGGAGUCGUUGUUGAAAUACCACUCUGAUCGUAUUGGACGUCUAACCUCGGCCCAUGAUCUGGGUUAGGACAGUGCCUGGUGGGUAGUUUAACUGGGGCGGUUGCCUCCUAAAGAGUAACGGAGGCGCCCAAAGGUUCCCUCAGCCUGGAUGGCAAUCAGGUGUUGAGUGCAAGUGCACAAGGGAGCUUGACUGUGAGACUGACACGUCGAGCAGGGACGAAAGUCGGGACUAGUGAUCCGGCACCGGCAAGUGGAAGCGGUGUCGCUCAACGGAUAAAAGGUACCCCGGGGAUAACAGGCUGAUCUUCCCCAAGAGUCCAUAUCGACGGGAUGGUUUGGCACCUCGAUGUCGGCUCGUCGCAUCCUGGGGCUGGAGUAGGUCCCAAGGGUUGGGCUGUUCGCCCAUUAAAGCGGCACGCGAGCUGGGUUUAGAACGUCGUGAGACAGUUCGGUCUCUAUCCGCCGCGCGCGUAAGAAACUUGAGGAAGGCUGUCCCUAGUACGAGAGGACCGGGACGGACGAACCUCUGGUGUGCCAGUUGUUCCACCAGGAGCAUGGCUGGUUAGCUACGUUCGGAAGGGAUAACCGCUGAAAGCAUCUAAGCGGGAAGCCUGUUCCAAGAUGAGGUUUCUCACCACCUUGCGUGGUUAAGGCCCCCUACAGACCAUGGGGUUGAUAGGCCGGAACUGGAAGCGCAGCAAUGCGUGGAGGUGACCGGUACUAAUAGGCCGAGGGCU
rnacentral:rRNA from 1 species